rnacentral:rRNA from 1 species
GAACGGGAAGUGGUGUUUCCAGUGGCGAACGGGUGAGUAACGCGUAAGAACCUGCCCUUGGGAGGGGAACAACAACUGGAAACGGUUGCUAAUACCCCGUAGGCUGAGGAGCAAAAGGAGAAAUCCGCCCAAGGAGGGGCUCGCGUCUGAUUAGCUAGUUGGUGUGGCAAUAGCUUACCAAGGCGAUGAUCAGUAGCUGGUCCGAGAGGAUGAUCAGCCACACUGGGACUGAGACACGGCCCAGACUCCUACGGGAGGCAGCAGUGGGGAAUUUUCCGUAAUGGGCGAAAGCCUGACGGAGCAAUGCCGCGUGGAGGUGGAAGGCCUACGGGUCGUCAACUUCUUUUCUCGGAGAAGAAACAAUGACGGUAUCUGAGGAAUAAGCAUCGGCUAACUCUGUG